rnacentral:rRNA from 1 species
UGGGGAAUAUUGCACAAUGGAGGGAACUCUGAUGCAGCGACGCCGCGUGAGUGAUGAAGGAAUUCGUUUCGUAAAACUCUGUUCUAUGGGAAGAAAAGGACUGUACCAUAGGAGAAAGCUCCGGCUAAAUACGUGCCAGCAGCCGCGGUAAUACGUAUGGAGCGAGCGUUGUCCGGAAUUAUUGGGCGUAAAGGGUGCGCAGGCGGCUUUACAAGUUGGAUGUGAAAUACUGUGGCUCAACCACAAACGUGCAUCCAAAACUGCAAAGCUUGAGUUAAGGAGAGGUAAGUGGAAUUCCUGGUGUAGCGGUGGAAUGCGUAGAUAUCAGGAGGAAUACCGGUGGCGAAGGCGACUUACUGGACUUAAACUGACGCUCAGGCACGAAAGCGUGGGGAGCAAACAGG